rnacentral:rRNA from 1 species
GUCCACGCCCUAAACGAUGCGAACUGGACGUUUGGUGCAAUUGAGCAUUCAGUGUCGAAGCUAACGCGUUAAGUUCGCCGCCUGGGGAGUACGGUCGCAAGACUGAAACUCAAAGGAAUUGACGGGGGCCCCGCACAAGCGGUGGAGUAUGUGGUUUAAUUCGAUGCAACGCGCAGAACCUUACCUGGUCUUGACAUCCACGGAAUCUUGCAGAGAUGCGGGAGUGCCUUCGGGAACCGUGAGACAGGUGCUGCAUGGCUGUCGU